CAGCAGAGUCGGAGCGGAGCUGCUGUCGGACAACAUCUCCAGGACGCUACGCUCCAUUUGACUAGAAUUCACAAGCUCCAGUGUGGAUCCAGAACACUUAAGAAAAGAUGAUGCCAACCCUUCAGAGGACUUCAGAUGAUGCCAACCCUGAAAACAUACAGCACUACCAAAUUCUGCUACAAAUUUAUAGUGUUCUUUGUCUGUUUGAUUACGUCAUUAAUUGAUCUUUACCAGACAUCUCUACCAUAUGUACAUCAAGCUACUACUACAUAUAUAGUAAAAAUGUCAAUUUGGUGUAAAGCUGCUUUGCAACGAUAUGUAUCGUGAAAAGCGCUAUACAAAUAAAUUUGAAUUGAAUUGAA